GUCCAGCUGAGAAAGUGAAGAAGAAACCUGUCAGGAUGCCAUUACAAGCACUGUAUAUCAGAAAUCCAUUGGAUGGAGGAAGGAGAGAGACUGUAGUUGAAUGGAUCCUCCAGCAGCUUCCUGGCUUGAACUUCAGGAUGAACAUCAAGCAAAAUGGCAGAGUGACCGAAGAUAACUGGGACAUGUUUGUAAGACCCUUCUCUUCCCUAGACUAAUUUAGGCUGUCGUGAUCAAAGCUUUCUCUACAACUUCUGUCUGAUGUGGGCCAGCAGGAAACGAGCACAGCUACGUGAGCUCCACCGAACACGAGCCGGCGAGCUCUGCAGAGCAGACUCCCUGUUGGAGGUCAGCGUGUGGAGCGCUCUUCCACCUUGUCGCCAGGUUGUGACUUGGCAGAGCCCUGGGAAACACUGAUUCAUGAAACCCCUUGCAUUUCCAUAUUGGCAGCAGAGCACUUUCUGUUUUGUUCCCAAAGCAAAUUACUUCAAUUAAAGUCCCUUCAUCAGGGCAGAAAACAGUUCAGUGGCAGAGGCUGCAGCUUUCUUUAGCCUUCGCCUUUAUGUUCUGCUGGCAAAGGCGCUAAUUCCAAUUCUGAAGUGGGAAAUAAUGGGCCUAUCAAGGGCAGGAGUGGGAAGAAAACCAAGAAGAAAAUUGAGAUAUGUCCGAAUGCCUAAAUAAAUUUGAAGCUUUUUUUUUCCUCCA
rnacentral:lncRNA from 1 species